rnacentral:rRNA from 1 species
UACGAAGGUCCCAAGCGUUAUCCGGAUUUAUUGGGUUUAAAGGGUGCGUAGGCGGCUUAUUAAGUCAGUGGUGAAAGCUCCAUGCUUAACGUGGAAAUUGCCAUUGAUACUGAUGAGCUUGAGUGUAUUUGAAGUGGGCGGAAUGUGUCGUGUAGCGGUGAAAUGCUUAGAUAUCAGGAGGAACACCGGUGGCGAAGGCGGGUCUCUGGGCCGAUACCGACGCUGAGGAGCGAAAGCGUGGAGAGCGAACAGG